GGGGGCGAGCGUUAUCCGGAAUUAUUGGGCGUAAAGGGUGCGUAGGCGGUUUAAUAAGUCUCUAGUUUAAUUUCAACGCUUAACGUUGUCCUGCUAGAGAAACUGUUUAACUAGAGUGAGAUAGAGGUAAGCGGAAUUCCAUGUGUAGCGGUAAAAUGUGUAAAUAUAUGGAGGAACACCAGAGGCGUAGGCGGCUUACUGGGUCUUUACUGACGCUGAUGCACGAAAGCGUGGGGAGCAAACAGGAUUAGAUACCCUGGUAGUCCACGCCGUAAACUAUGAGUACUAAGUGUCGGGGUUAAACUCGGUACUGAAGUUAACACAUUAAGUACUCCGCCUGAGUAGUACGUACGCAAGUAUGAAACUUAAAGGAAUUGACGGGAUCCCGCACAAGCGGUGGAUCAUGUUGUUUAAUUCGAAGAUACACGAAAAACCUUACCAGGUCUUGACAUACUCUGCAAAGCUAUAGAAAUAUAGUGGAGGUUAUCAGGGAUACAGGUGGUGCAUGGUUGUCGUCAGCUCGUGUCGUGAGAUGUUAGGUUAAGUUCUAAAACGAGCGCAACCCCUGUCGUUAAUUGCCAGCACGUUAUGGUGGGGACUUUAGCGAGACUGCCAAUGAAAAAUUGGAGGAAGGUGGGGAUUACGUCAAAUCAUCAUGCCCCUUAUGAUCUGGGCUACAAACGUGAUACAAUGGCUAUUACAAAGAGUAGCUGAAACGCGAGUUUUCGGCAAAUCUCAAAAAAAUAGUCUCAGUUCGGAUUGAAGUCUGCAACUCGACUUCAUGAAGUUGGAAUCGCUAGUAAUCGCGAAUCAGCAUGUCGCGGUGAAUACGUUCUCGGGGUUUGUACACACCGCCCGUCAAACCACGA
rnacentral:rRNA from 1 species